UAUGGCCACAUCACAUUGAAAUACUAGUUCCCAUACAAUCACCAAAGUUAAGCAAAAUUGAGCCUGAUCAGUACCUAGAUGGAUGACCUCUUGAGAAUAUCAGGUGUUGUAAG